rnacentral:lncRNA from 1 species
CGGCUCGACUUUAGACUAGUUCUUUGCAUCAAUCUCAAAGGUACCAAAUCUCAAAAUUACCAGUUAAAAUAGGAACUCAGGUACAAGGAAUAAAAUAGGGAUGAAACAGGACACAAGUCAGGCUGCUAUCCUUGCAGAAAGAGACGGAAACCUGAAACUGGAGUGAAUUUUAACCCAAAUGUUAAAACGCUAAGCCCCGGAACUAUCACUGCAGAAUCCCUUCUUGUCUGUGAUCACAGGAAAAGGUGAGACUAGGCUUGUAGCUGGAACCCAGGUAAACUGUGCAGAGAGGAUGCAGAGCCUAGACAACAGGCAACUGUCUUAUGGAAGUGUGAAUGUAGAAUUUUGGGGUAGUUUUGCAGUUAUUUUUUGUUUGUUUGUUUGUUUUGUUUUUUUUUUUUUGGUCUUUUUGCUAUUUCUCGGUCUUGGGCCGCUCCCGCGGCAUAUGGAGAUUCCCAGGCUAGGGGUCCAAUCGGAGCUGUAGCCACCGGCCUAUGCCAGAGCCACAGCAACGCGGGAUCUGAGCCGCGUCUGCAACCUACACCAGAGCUCACGGCAAUGCCGGAUCGUUAACCCGCUGAGCAAGGGCAGGGAUCGAACCUGAACCUCAUGGUUCCUAGUCGGAUUCGUUAACCACUGCGCCACAACGGGAACUCCAGUUUUGCAGUUUUAGGAGUUAAUUGUUUAUGUAGUGCAAGAACCUUAUCAAACUAUCAAGUUACUAGAUCAGUUCAAGCAGUACCCUUUAAAAAAAAAAAAAAAAAAACAAGCAGAGAAGCAAAAUUGAGCAUCCAUAUGUCAGUAAACUAUCUUAGUCUUUCCCAUUUGUGAUUAAAGGAAACAAUUAGAUGUACUGGGGAAAAAAAACAAACCAAAGUUUUAGGAACAGCUGUGGUGAUGCUGUGACAUUCAGCAAAUCAUUUCACUUCUCUAGGCGUCAAUUACUCAUCUGUAAAAUAAGUUUGGAUCAUUUAUCAUUGUUUCCUUUCAAAUUUAAGCUCUAUUAUUUAUUUCUACCACUGACUUUCCUAUAUUAGGGAAAUUUUUUAUGACAGGUUUCAUUUUAACCCUAUUUACAUAAUUUGAAAACAGAAAUAUUUGAGAAAAACCCUUUCUACAGUAAUUAUUUUAGUGAAAAUGUAUAUUCUCUUUAAAAAUUUAUUUCAUGAAAUAGCUGGAGAUAUUUGUAUAGUGUUGAGUCCUGAGUUAUACAAUUUUAUUUAUUUAUUUCGUCUUUUUCUUUCUUUUUUUUUUUUUUUUUUGCCUUUUCUAGGGCUGCACCUGCGGCAUAUGGAGAUUUCCAGGCUAGGGGUCUAAUCAGAGCUAUAGCUGCCAGCCUACACCACAGCCACAGAUCCAAGCUGCGUCUGUGACCUUCACCACAGCUCACGGCAACGCUGGAUUCUUAACCCACUGCAGUGAACCUGCAACCUCAUGGUCCCUAGCUGGAUUCGUUAACCACUGAGCCACAACGGGAACUCCCUGAGUUAUACAAUUUUAUAGAAAAGAAAAUGUUUUAACAUUUUCUUCUUAAGAUAUCAUGAUUCGAGAAGGGGGAAGAAAAAGAUAUCAUGAUUUAGAGUUAUUUGAUGUGGAAAAUCUUAUUUCCCCAGAAAGAUUUAUAAUAUUGGAGAUCAGUGACUAAAUGACGUACAACUACAUAACCAGAAAAUGUUCAAUAAAUAGUAACUGGGAGUUCCCGUCA